AGAGUUUGAUCCUGGCUCAGAACGAACGUUGGCGGCAGGCUUAACACAUGCAAGUCGAGCGCUCUCUUCGGAGAGAGCGGCAGACGGGUGAGUAACGCGUGGGAACAUACCUAAUAGUACGGAAUAACGUUUGGAAACGAGCGCUAAUACCGUAUACGCCCUUUGGGGGAAAGAUUUAUCGCUAUUAGAUUGGCCCGCGUUGGAUUAGUUAGUUGGUGGGGUAAUGGCCUACCAAGACGACGAUCUAUAGCUGGUCUGAGAGGAUGAUCAGCCACACUGGGACUGAGACACGGCCCAGACUCCUACGGGAGGCAGCAGUGGGGAAUAUUGGACAAUGGGCGCAAGCCUGAUCCAGCCAUGCCGCGUGAGUGAUGAAGGCCUUAGGGUUGUAAAGCUCUUUCGUUAGGGAAGAUAAUGACGGUACCUAGUAAAGAAGCCCCGGCUAACUUCGUGCCAGCAGCCGCGGUAAUACGAAGGGGGCUAACGUUGUUCGGAUUUACUGGGCGUAAAGCGUACGUAGGCGGAUUAGAAAGUUAGGGGUGAAAUCCCGAGGCUCAACCUCGGAACUGCCUCUAAAACUUCUAGUCUAGAGAUCGGGAGAGGUGUAUGGAACUCCUAGUGUAGAGGUGGAAUUCGUAGAUAUUAGGAAGAACACCAGUGGCGAAGGCGAUACACUGGCCCGAUACUGACGCUGAGGUACGAAAGCGUGGGGAGCAAACAGGAUUAGAUACCCUGGUAGUCCACGCCGUAAACUAUGAGAGCUAGCCGUUGGGAAGUUUACUUUUCAGUGGCGCAGCUAACGCAUUAAGCUCUCCGCCUGGGGAGUACGGUCGCAAGAUUAAAACUCAAAUGAAUUGACGGGGGCCCGCACAAGCGKKGGAGCAUGGUGGUUUAAUUCGAAGCAACGCGAAGAACCUUACCAGCUCUUGACAUACCUAUCGCAGUCUCCAGAGAUGGAGACCUUCAGUUCGGCUGGAUAGGAUACAGGUGCUGCACGGCUGUCGUCAGCUCGUGUCGUGAGAUGUUGGGUUAAGUCCCGCAACGAGCGCAACCCUCGCCCUUAGUUGCCAGCAUUUAGUUGGGCACUCU
rnacentral:rRNA from 1 species